AGGUAAUAAAAUUAAGAGUAAAAAAUGUAUACACAAUGUACCUGCAAUUAUAAGAAAAUAUUCUAAAAUAUUAGAUGGAAACAAUAAUACACGCAAUCUUCGAGAAUAUACAGAUAAAAUAAAUACAGAGAUUAUUCAAUUUGAUGAAGAAGAUUUUUGUUUUACUGGCGUAAACAAUUUAAGAAUUCAAAAUAUUGAUACAAAAUAUAAUGAAGAAAUACUUCCUACCAAGUUCAAAUCAAUAAUCCGGGUGAGAGAUAUCAAGGAAUGAUGGAUGAAGAUCAAUACAAAUUGCGCAUUUGUAACUUGGAAAAGUGUCGGAAUUUUGUAUCUGUUAUUUGUAAUAAAUGAAAUACAGCAAGAUACUGCUCGGAUGAUUGCCAAG